AGAAUAAUAAUAAUUUUAUCAUUAUAUAUAAUAGUUUAAAUAUUAAAUUAACAAGUAUGUGAAUUAUAAAUAAUUUUAGGAGACGCGGAUAAAGUAGAUAGCCGGGUAGCACCAUCUGGUAGUUAGAUUUACGCGAUCGAGGAGAUAGAACACAGUGAUCCAUUUAUUUAGCUUCGUGCAGUCAGCUGAUUUGAUUUGCUUAGUAUUUUGCAGUUGCUGUUGUUUUGGGGAAGAUAUUUGAAGCUGGCUUGCAAACUCCUAUUUUUUGAUAAUUACGUUGUACACAAGUACAAAAUUCUUAUGUUAUAUUUAGCCAUUUAGAAGUUGGCCAGUUAUUUUUAAACAGUUCUCAUGUGAUCACA